CAGCGAGAUUUGUGUCCAGCAGAAGACUGAGUAUGGCAUAUCAGCUCAUAAUCCCAUAAACUCCAACCAAUUACAUAAGUACUAACGAUGACCAGCUUACAGCUCCAAAAAAACAUCUAUGGAGCUCAACUAACCAGGACCCUUCAGAAGAACCAGCCCAUACUCAAUGGGAGACGUUAAAACCAGAAAGUCAGGUUGAGAACAGAUAGGUAUGAAAAUAUUAUAUAGCGUCACUUCUGCAUUAUUGAAAAGAUAGACACAGAUAACUGGAAACCUCAAAAUGAAAUUAUUCAUGGGUACAAAUAAGUACAUAUUUGAAUUUUUGCAGGAUUCCAGAAUGAGAAAGAUGAGGAAGCAGCAUUGAUGGAGGAGGAAGAGGCUCGAGCGAUUCAGCGAAGGCUUGCUGAGCAAUUAGAUGACCUUGACCCUGUCCUCACUUUUGCCACCUUGGGUGACUUAACAAAAGUAGUUGAUGAUGCUGAUGACAAGAAAGAAAUUAUUGAAACUGACUUUAGUCAAAUGAACAAGAGAGAUCGAAUAACUUUAUUACAAAAAGAAUCUCCCGAGUUUCUAGGUUUCAUCACUGAUUUUAAAAGUAUGUUCUCUCAUUUACCAAAUAUUUUUUCACUGCCGUAUCUUAGGACUGAUCAGUAUUGGAAACUGUGAACCAAGAGUGGCAAAGUACCGCCAAUAGGGUGCAGCAAAUUUUUCAAAAGUUUUAAUGGAGCAAUCCUACUUUUUCCUCUGAAAUUGAAAUAUUUAGCGAAGGAAAGUUACCUCAAGUAAUUCUGAGAAUAAGAGAAUUUUCCAGUUACCUUUUAUUUUUCAAUCGGGAAAAUUUAACAAAAUAAUUUUCAAGUACAUUUUUAGGGAAAGCAUGAACUGAGGUCUAUCUCUUUGGCGAUUAGAGGUAGAGGUACUUAUGCCAUUAGAAUAGAAUACUUUUAUGGUCAUUUAAGCUCAAUUGAAGUCUUAAAACAAUACUUUUAUUUACAUUUCAAUGAAAAAUUUGCUACAAGAAAUGCGAGGGCAAUCUUUUCAAAAGUGUUUAGUCUCAUUUGACCUUGGAGAAAUACAGGGAACUAGACUAAACAUGUUAUUUUGUUUGUUUUGAAAUUUUUGGUCUAGGCUACAAUCUCCGCAUUCUUUGUUUUCAUCGACUAAAUCUUUGAACCAUUCACAAAUCGCGAAGAUUACAAAGAGGGUUGACAUGCAAGCAGUGAUUUGCUCAGUCUUGAGACUCGAAGAGUGAGAUCAGCAGUCGGGACAUGGGCAGACUUGAACUCGAGGUGCUUGUCUGCCACGGCGAGGUGCGCACCCAGGCUCACCAACAUGAGAUCGCUCUAACCAUCAAGUUCGCCCCUGAGCUCGAUUCCCAAUCCCUGCAUGCAAGCAUUGAAGGUUUUUUGUUGGCCUGUUUCAGUUCAGCUGCGAGGGCACCUGUUAUAGCAAAGCUAGUAUUAUUCUAUGUUCAAGUAAAAUUAAUAUUAAAAGUGGUCGUUUAAAGCACAAUUGUAAUUUUUAUUCUUCUUCCUGUACUGAUCAUUCAGGUAAAAGAAACUUGUAGAAAAUAAAUUAUGUUUUGUAUCACUGUCUCUGGUCAUUGCCACCUCAAAUGCUCAGUUUGAAAGAAAAAUUCAUUUUUUCUGUGGAAAGAAGAACUUUUUUUUCCACUCAAGAUCAAAUUUUCCACAAAAAAAUUAGAAAAGACAGUAAAAUGUUUCACAAAAUUUUACAGAAAAUAAAGGCAACUAGAUUAUAUUUUCUUUUAAUGUUAACCAUUGCCUACGUGUUAGCCUAAACAAGCUCUCAUAGCCCUAUAGUUAUUGUUUCUUAAAUAAUCUGCACUCCAGAGAGUCAUUUGCUCAUAGUUAUGCCUCACUUCUAAUUCAAUUCUAUUUAUGAAUAAUG
rnacentral:lncRNA from 1 species